rnacentral:rRNA from 1 species
GACGAACGCUGGCGGCGUGCUUAACACAUGCAAGUCGAACGGAAAGGUCCUGCUUUUGUGGGGUGCUCGAGUGGAGAACGGGUGAGUAACACGUGAGUAACCUGCCCUUGACUUUGGGAUAACUUCAGGAAACUGGGGCUAAUACCGGAUAGGAGCUCCUGCUGCAUGGUGGGGGUUGGUAAGUUUCGGGGGUUGGGGAUGGACUCGCGGCUUAUCGGCUUGUUGGUGUGGUAGUGGGUUACCAAGGCUUUGAAGGGUAGCCGGCCUGCGAGGGUAACCUGCCACGUUGGAACUGGAAUACGGCCCAGACUCCUACGGUAGGCAGCAGUGGGGAAUAUUGCACAAUGGGCUGAAGCCUGAUGCAGCAACGCCGCGUGCGGGAUGACAGCCUUCGGGUUGUGAACCGCUUUCGCCUGUGACGAAGCGUGAGUGACGGUAAUGGGUAAAGAAGCACCGGCUAACUACGUG